AGGGCAGUAGUUCAAUUGGCAGAACGCGCCGCUCCAAACGGCGAAGUUGGGAGUUCGAGUCUCUCCUGCCCUG
rnacentral:tRNA from 1 species